rnacentral:rRNA from 1 species
AUUGAACGCUGGCGGAAUGCUUUACACAUGCAAGUCGAACGGCAGCACGGACUUCGGUCUGGUGGCGAGUGGCGAACGGGUGAGUAAUAUAUCGGAACGUGCCCAGUCGUGGGGAUAACGUAGCGAAAGCUACGCUAAUACCGCAUACGAUCUACGGAUGAAAGCGGGGGAUCGCAAGACCUCGCGCGAUUGGAGCGGCCGAUAUCAGAUUAGGUAGUUGGUGAGGUAAAGGCGCAACAAGCCGACGAUCUGUAGCUGGUCUGAGAGGACGACCAGCCACACGGGGACUGAGACACGGCCCAGACUCCUACGGGAGGCAGCAGUGGGGAAUUUUGGACAAUGGACGCAAGUCUGAUCCAGCCAUUCCGCGUGCAGGACGAAGGCCUUCGGGUUGUAAACUGCUUUUGUACAGAACGAAAAGGUUUCUAUUAAUACUAGGGGCUCAUGACGGUACUGUAAGAAUAAGCACCGGCUAACUACGUGCCAGCCGCCGCGGUAA